rnacentral:rRNA from 1 species
AGAGUUUGAUCCUGGCUCAGAACGUACGCUGGCGGCACGCCUAAUACAUGCAAGUCGAACGAAGUAGCAAUACUUAGUGGCAGACGGGUGAGUAACAUGUAGGUAUCUACCCUUUGGCCUGGAAUAACACGAGGAAACUUGUGCUAAUACCGGAUAAGUCUUUACGGAGAAAGCUUUAUGCACCAUUGGAUGAGCCUGCACUUGAUUAGUUUGUUGGUGGGGUAAUGGCCUACCAAGACAAUGAUCAAUAGCUGAUUUGAGAGGAUGAUCAGCCACAUUGGGACUGAGACACGGCCCAAACUCCUACGGGAGGCAGCAGUAGGGAAUCUUGCACAAUGGAGGAAACUCUGAUGCAGCGAUGCCGCGUGAGUGAAGAAGGCCUUUGGGUUGUAAAGCUCUUUCGUCGGGGAAGAAAAUGACUGUACCCGAAUAAGAAGGUCCGGCUAACUUCGUGCCAGCAGCCGCGGUAAUACGAAGGGACCUAGCGUAGUUCGGAAUUACUGGGCUUAAAGAGUUCGUAGGUGGUUAAAAAAGUUGGUGGUGAAAUCCCAGAGCUUAACUCUGGAACUGCCAUCAAAACUUUUUAGCUAGAGUAUGAUAGAGGAAAGCAGAAUUUCUAGUGUAGAGGUGAAAUUCGUAGAUAUUAGAAAGAAUACCGAUUGCGAAGGCAGCUUUCUGGAUCAUUACUGACACUGAGGAACGAAAGCAUGGGUAGCGAAGAGGAUUAGAUACCCUCGUAGUCCAUGCCGUAAACGAUGUGUGUUAGACGUUGGAAAUUUAUUUUCAGUGUCGCAGCGAAAGCGAUAAACACACCGCCUGGGGAGUACGACCGCAAGGUUAAAACUCAAAUGAAUUGACGGGGACCCGCACAAGUAGUGGAGCAUGUGGUUUAAUUCGAAGAUACGCGCAGAACCUUACCAACACUUGACAUGUUCGUCGCGACUCUAAGAGAUUAGAGUUUUCGGUUCGGCCGGACGAAACACAGGUGCUGCAUGGCUGUCGUCAGCUCGUGUCGUGAGAUGUUGGGUUAAGUCCCGCAACGAGCGCAACCCUUACUUUUAGUUGCCAUCAUUUAGUUGGGCACUCUGAAAGAACUGCCAGUGAUAAGCUGGAGGAAGGUGGGGAUGACGUCAAGUCCUCAUGGCCCUUAUGUGUUGGGCUACACACGUGCUACAAUGGUAUCUACAACAGGAAGCAAGAUGGCAACAUUAAGCAAAUCCCAAAAAGAUACCUCAGUUCGGAUUGCACUCUGCAACUCGAGUGCAUGAAGCUGGAAUUACUAGUAAUCGUGGAUCAGCGUGCCACGGUGAAUACGUUCCCGGGUCUUGUACACACCGCCCGUCACACCAUGGGAGUUGGUUCUACCUUAAGGCAAGGUUUAAUACCCUUGACCACGGUAUAGUCAGCGACUGGGGUGAAGUCGUAACAAGGUAACC